AUAAGCAAGUUCUCUCUCUGAGCUCGCGAUGAAGACAGAGAUGCCGAACCUUCCCGAAGAAAUCAUCGUCGACGUACUCACGAGACUACCCGUCGUCUCCCUCUGCAGAUUCAGGUGCGUUUCGAAACCGUGGCGCUCUCUAAUCUCCCACCCUAGUUUCAUCAAAACACACCUCAAUCGCAACACCGACAAAAACACCAACAAGUUCGAGCGUGUCGUUCUCAGCGAUCAUCGAAAUUGGUACACCGUGGAACUCGAUUCAUCCCAAUUCAGGCACCAUUCAGUGGCAGUGCGCCUGAAUUUCCCACCCGGUCAAAACCCUAGAUAUUGUGAGGAGAUUUGUUAUUCGUGUGAUGGCUUGGUGUUGAUGCUCGAUCGAAGGUUCCAUUGUUGUUUGGUGAACCCGUCUACUCGAGAAUCUAGAAAAUUGCCAUUAUCUCCUUUUACGUCUAAGCCAGGUUUCACUGAUUAUGGGUUUGGUUACGACUCAUCCAUUGAUGACUACAAGGUUGUAAAUAUUUGUUAUUAUGAUGGAGAAGCUGAUGCUGGGUGCGCUGAUAAUGUAGUCAGUGUGUAUGCCUUAAAGACCAAUUCCUGGAGAAGGAUUGAGAACUCUCCUUAUGAUCAUUCAUGCUUUGGGCAUCAUUCAGGGGCUUUUGUUUGUGGUGCACUCCACUGGGUAGCUAGCAAUGGUACAGACGAUGUUAUAGUUGCACUCGUUUUAGAAGAUGAAAAAUUUCAGACUGUGCCAUCUCCAACUCCGGAUUGUAUUGGUGACCUACUUUGUGUUCUUGGAGGUUGCCUUUGUGUGUUUGUUUCUCAGUUUGAUCCUUACUGUCUAGAUGUUUGGGUGAUGAAAGAGUAUGGGGUGAAAGAUUCAUGGAUGAAAUUUACAGUCACUUAUGAUAAUAUUUAUGAUUCUUGGAGGCCUUUGAGUUUAUCUCGGACCGGUCAAGUUUUACUUAAUGCACAAGGAAAAAACUUAGUUCUCUUUGAUCCACGGGAGGAAGAAUCCAAGGAGCUAGUGGUUCAGGGCCUUCCAACUCAAUUUGAAGUAGGAACUUAUGUGGAAAGCCUCGUUUCACCCAAGAGGCAAUGCUAAUAAUCACCUAGUUAGGUACUAUACUCAUUUUGGGGAUUUUCUAAUGAUGGGGAUUCCACCGUGAGUUAAAUUUAUUGUCCCCUUUCAAAUGAGAAGCAUGCAUAGAAGACAUGCUAGAAAAGCUAACCCCCAUCUUCCUUAUGCUACUAUCUCUAGUCCCUAGAACUUCAUCUGGUGGUUGCCUAUUCCCUUCAAAAUCAAAUUCUUUUAUGGCAAGUUUUGGAUGAUUGUCUUUCCUGUAUGAGUUUCUAUCUUACAAAGGUUGGGUUGGAGAACAAGGUUCUUCCUCUUUGGGGGUAUUAUGACUUGGUUUAGGUCAGAUUUAGGUCUUCCUUUACCCUAGCAUUGCUCCUCUGUUGUACUUAGGUUAGGGAAUGGCACUACAAUGCUAAUCUUCGCAGACAUUCUAGGGAGUUAAUCUUUUGAAGGUUUCAUGAGUGCUUUGGUGCAUUCGAUUAAAUAAAAACAAACUAGUUUUUUCAAGAAUUACUCCAUCUCCCAUCCACAUUAUUUAGGAGGCUUCUCAUUUUUAUUCUUAUACUUAACAUGUUUUUUGCACUGCUUUCCAACCUUUAAUGACUAGAGAAUAGGUCUGCGCAAGACCUUGCCUCUUGUCACACAUCAUCCAACAUCAACAUUCCUGCAAAAUAUCUUUUCUUUUAUUGAUUCUGGUGGGAACUGCUGCGUCAAUGAGUCCUUUCUACUUUGGUCAUUUAUUGAGGCCAUGCUUUCAAUUUGCAUUCUACAAAAGUUGGAGGAUUAUGACACCAUUUCUGCAAUUGCAACCCUGUUGUUUGUCGACUCCGUUAUAUAGCACAAUCCCUUCACUCAUGUAUAAUUUACUCUAUGCCAAAGCAAUAUAUAUUAUCUCUCACGCUCUAGCAAUGGUGAAGUUUGCAGUUUUAUCAGAUGACCAAGUUUGCAGCUUUAUCAGGUAUUCAUUCAGAAACAUCCAUAUCAUUCCCUUCUGGUGAUGGUUGAUGCAAGUUAUCGAGCUUGAAUUCUGUUGGCCGUUGAUUGCGACGCAAAGUAUCUAAUCUUUGUACUGUUUUUUUCUUUCUUGUUUCAUUUUCCUUGUACUGACUCGCUUUGAUUGGGGUUGUAUUAUGAAAUUAUUGCUUGUGUUUGUUCUCUUAUAUUUCUUUUUAUGCCAACAAAAUCUGUUGUUACUCUUGUUAGGCUUAUGCUGCAUUGUACUUUGUAUUACAGGUUAGAUGCAUGAAAACACUCUGUAAAAUUAUACUAUAGGAUUUAUUGAGUAAAUAUUUUCCUCUAA